AACGAACGCUGGCGGCAGGCCUAACACAUGCAAGUCGAACGGGAUCUUCGGGUCUAGUGGCGGACGGGUGAGUAACGCGUGGGAACGUGCCCUUUGGUUCGGAAUAGCCCCGGGAAACUGGGAGUAAUACCGGAUAAGCCCUACGGGGGAAAGAUUUAUCGCCAAAGGAUCGGCCCGUGUUGGAUGAGGUAGUUGUUGGGGUAAUGGCUCACCAAGCCGACGAUCCAUAGCUGGUUUGGGAGGAUGGUCAGCCACAAUGGGACUGAGACACGGCCCAGCCUCCUACGGGGGGCAGCAGGGGGGAAUCUUAGACAAUGGGGGAAACCCUGAUCUAGCCAUGCCGCGUGAUCGAUGAAGGCCUUAGGGUUGUAAAGAUCUUUCAGUGGGAAAGAUAAUGACUGUACCCACAGAAGAAGCCCCGGCUAACUCCGUGCCAGCCGCCGCCGUAA
rnacentral:rRNA from 1 species